rnacentral:rRNA from 1 species
AAAAACAUGUCUUUUUGAUAAUAAUUUAAAGUCUAAUCUGCCCACUGAUAAUAUAUUAAAGGGCUGCAGUAUAUUGACUGUACAAAGGUAGCAUAAUCAUUAGUCUUUUAAUUGAAGACUUGUAUGAAAGAUUUGAUGAAAUAUAAACUGUCUCUAAUUUAUGUUUAGAAAUUAAUUUUUUAGUUAAAAAGCUAAAAUAAUAUUAAAAGACGAGAAGACCCUAUAGAGUUUUAUAUUUUAUUUAAUUAAUAUUAAAUAUAUAAUUAAAUAUAUUAAUUAAAUAAAAUAUUGUGUUGGGGUGAUAGAAAAAUUUAAUAAACUUUUUUUAAAAUUAAACAUAAAUAAGUGAUUAGUUGAUCCAUUAAUAAUGAUUAAAAGAAAAAAUUACCUUAGGGAUAACAGCGUAAUAUUUUUUUUUAGUACAUAUAAAAAAAAAAGUUUGCGACCUCGAUGUUGGAUUAAGAUAAAAUUUAAAUGCAAAAGUUUAAAAUUUUGAUCUGUUCGAUCAUUAAAAUCUUACAUGAUC